rnacentral:tRNA from 2 species
AGAGACAGAGGCACACCCGUCCUCCUUAAUGAU